rnacentral:tRNA from 1 species
GGCCGGUUAGCUCAGCUGGUUAGAGCGUGGUGCUAAUACUGCCAGGGUCCUGGGUUCGAUCCCCAUACUGGCCA